rnacentral:misc_RNA from 1 species
GUGACCUCUUCCUGAAUGGAAGCGUCGUGGAAUUUGGAGCAGCUUUUUAAUGAAAAAUGCUGGAAAAAGUCGCUUAAUAUCUGAAAGGCUCAAUAAUAACGGAUCAUAUUAAAUAUUACCAGACACAAUGGACAAGCAAUAUUCUGUCCAGUUUUUUACCAAGUUUGUGGAAGCGAUGCAGAAGUUCUGCCGAGACUAUAUUGAAUUUGAACAGGCAGUGGAGCUGAGUGGCUACCUUUCUCUGGAGAUAGACAAUUACAAGAAGGAGAGAUAUGUUCUCAGUGAGAUGGUUCACAGUACUGGUGAUGUGAUCAGUGAGAGUUACUGUGUGAAAGCCUUCAAGACUAUGAAACGUUUACCUGUUAUCAGAGACCAUACAAACACUCUACGGUUAUCUCAGGAUGAUUCAAUAGAUUUAAGAGACAGCCCACCACAGUAUGGCAUUCCCUAUCAGACAACAUCUUCUAGGCAGAGGACACAUAUUCACCAAACAUCACCUAACAGGCAUAACAUAUCUAGUCAACAGUCCUACAGGCAGACUAUGAACAGAAGACAUAACCCUCCAUCAUUUGCUUCUGGGGGACAAAAUUCUAAUGCCUUCACCACCUCAUCAUCUUCAUCAGCUCAGUUGGAAGAGCCAUCGACAAUCCAACCCCGCCAAUCUGUCCAGUAUUUAACUAGUGCAUCUCACUCAAGUCCUGUUAUGGCUCUUGUUCCAUCACUGGAUGAUGUAGAAGCCGAUCACAGCAGCGGUACGUCAAACAUGAAUCCACUUGUGUCGUCUGCAGAUAACAUUCAAUCAGAUGAAAGCAGAGGACAAAAACGAAGUACUGUGCAAGAAGAGACCAGUCCAAAUAAAAAAGAAAAAUUAGAUAAUGAGCUUGAAUCCUUAUUCAGUGCUGCAACAAGCAUCGUUACUGUCAGUGAAGGAAAUGUUGACUUCUCUACAACGGUUGGUGAAAAAGUGCCUCAGUCUCAAGAUGUUAACCUAGAUAUUCCAAAUAGUGACCAGUCCACUUCACAAUCUCACUCAGUGAGUGAAAGUUUACGUCUGCCUGAAAGUAUUCAAAUCAAAGAGGAGGUUGAUCCAGACAUUAUGUUUAUAGACAGUCCUGGUGACAGAUCUGGUUCUGAACCUGGUGGUUAUGGUGCAGAUGCUCAGAGUUUCACAUCCUCAGCAGAAGCAGCAUCAUCUGAUCCCAAGUCUUUACAGACUGUUCACAACCAGCGAUGUAGAGAUCCUCUACCAAUGUCCAGCAAUGUUGCACCAAUACAUCCUGGUACGCCAUGUGGCAGUGAUCAGGAUUCUCACCCUCGCCGGGUUUUUGAGCAUGUAGGAAAAGAGACCCUCUCGAGUACAUCAAGAUUCUCAUAUACCGAUGUCCACCAUACCAAAAAAUUCCGGUGUGAUUAUUGUGAAUAUGAAACUUUGUACCCAUUUGCACUGAAAAGACACCGAAGAAAACACACGGGUGAAGCCUAUUUCUGUGACUUGUGUCCUAAGCAUUUCUGGGAUCGAAGUAAACUCAUUUACCAUAUGAAGGGGCACCGAGGAGAGCUUGUUUGUAAAUUCUGUUUGAAACAAUUCCAGACAAAGAAUGGGCAGUACAGGCACGAAAUGACAUGUCCUACACUUCGUUCUCGUCAUGUGGCCAAGAAUGAACAUUCAACAUUAUAAACAUGGAGUGCGUGUUUUGAAGAUAAUUGUGGCUCUUUCUGAUCAGGAAGACUGCUUGACGGACCAUAAUUAGUUCACACCAACACAUUUAUGACUUAUUAUUAGACAUAUAACCGGACUGUUCAUUGUCUUUGAAAAUCGGAGGCUGUUUGAGAGAAGUAGUUGGCUGUGUUUACUGAAUGUUGGGAAAUUUAUAUUUAAUACAUCUGUAUACAGAAUUCACACUGCCAACUUUAUGGCAGGGUCUGCCAAAUACCGAGCCGCAAUGGAUAAGACCAUGCCAGGGAACUUGGCCCCCAUGAAGAAGCGAAAGACUCAUAAAUGUGACUUGUGU